CAGGGAAUAGUUUAAAAAAGAAUUUCAGCUUUGGGUGCUGAUGGUGGAGCCUUGCUUCUUCCUUGA
rnacentral:tRNA from 1 species